rnacentral:rRNA from 1 species
AGAGUUUGAUCAUGGCUCAGGAUGAACGCUAGCGGCAGGCUUAAUACAUGCAAGUCGAGGGGCAGCACAGGUAGCAAUACUGGGUGGCGACCGGCAAACGGGUGCGGAACACGUACAGAACCUUCCUUUAAGUGGGGAAUAGCCCAGAGAAAUUUGGAUUAAUACCCCGUAACAUUAUGAAAUGGCAUCAUUUUAUAAUUAUAGAUUUAUCGCUUAGAGAUGGCUGUGCGGCUGAUUAGGUAGUUGGCGGGGUAACGGCCCACCAAGCCUGCGAUCAGUAACUGGUGUGAGAGCACGACCAGUCACACGGGCACUGAGACACGGGCCCGACUCCUACGGGAGGCAGCAGUAAGGAAUAUUGGUCAAUGGACGAAAGUCUGAACCAGCCAUGCCGCGUGAAGGAUGAAGGUCCUCUGGAUUGUAAACUUCUUUUAUCUAGGACGAAACCCCCGAAUUCUUUCGGGAUUGACGGUACCAGAGGAAUAAGCACCGGCUAACUCCGUGCCAGCAGCCGCGGUAAUACGGAGGGUGCAAGCGUUAUCCGGAUUCACUGGGUUUAAAGGGUGCGUAGGUGGGUCUGUAAGUCAGUGGUGAAAUCUCCGGGCUUAACCUGGAAACUGCCAUUGAUACUAUAGAUCUUGAAUUUUCUGGAGGUAAGCGGAAUAUGUCAUGUAGCGGUGAAAUGCUUAGAUAUGACAUAGAACACCAAUUGCGAAGGCAGCUUGCUACAGGAACAUUGACACUGAGGCACGAAAGCGUGGGGAUCAAACAGGAUUAGAUACCCGUAGUCC